GUAGGGAAUCUUCCGCAAUGGGCGAAAGCCUGACGGAGCAACGCCGCGUGAGUGAAGAAGGUCUUCGGAUCGUAAAACUCUGUUAUUAGGGAAGAACAAAUGUGUAAGUAACUAUGCACGUCUUGACGGUACCUAAUCAGAAAGCCACGGCUAACUACGUGCCAGCAGCCGCGGUAAUACGUAGGUGGCAAGCGUUAUCCGGAAUUAUUGGGCGUAAAGCGCGCGUAGGCGGUUUUUUAAGUCUGAUGUGAAAGCCCACGGCUCAACCGUGGAGGGUCAUUGGAAACUGGAAAACUUGAGUGCAGAAGAGGAAAGUGGAAUUCCAUGUGUAGCGGUGAAAUGCGCAGAGAUAUGGAGGAACACCAGUGGCGAAGGCGACUUUCUGGUCUGUAACUGACGCUGAUGUGCGAAAGCGUGGGGAUCAAACAGGAUUAGAAACCCGAGUAGUCC
rnacentral:rRNA from 1 species